AGCUCUGCUUCAGCUGUGGGGCCUCAGGAGGCAGGACUCAGGGAUGACCUCCACCAUGGCCUGGGCCCCUCUCCUCUUCACCCUCCUGGCUCACUGCACAGGAUCCUGGGCCCAGUCUGUGCUGACUCAGCCAUCCUCAGUGUCGGGGGCCCCGGGCGAGAGGGUCACCAUCUCCUGCACUGGAAGCAGCACCAACAUUGGGGGUGGUUACUAUGUGCACUGGUACCAACAGCUCCCAGGAAAGGCCCCCAAACUCUUCAUCUAUGAGAGUAGCAAACGGCCCUCAGGGAUUCCGGACCGAUUCUCUGGCUCCAGGUCUGGCAGCUCAGCCUCCCUGACCAUCACAGGGCUGCAGGCUGAGGACGAGGCCGACUAUUUCUGCCAGUCCUAUGACAAGAAUCUGGAUGCUUGCACAGUGCUGCAGGCCUGUGGGGAAGUGAGACAAAAACCCGCUGUCCCGCUACAAGGCCCUCACAGCAGCCUCCUCCUGGACACAAAACCUUUCACGGAACGGGAGGCCCAUCCCAUCAGCGGGGACACUGAGCCCCUUGGCCCUGAGCCCCAGGUCUGA